rnacentral:rRNA from 1 species
UACGGGGGGGGCAAGCGUUGUUCGGAAUUACUGGGCGUAAAGGGCUCGUAGGUGGCCGACUAAGUCAGACGUGAAAUCCCUCGGCUUAACCGGGGAACUGCGUCUGAUACUGGAUGGCUUGAGUUCGGGAGAGGGAUGCGGAAUUCCAGGUGUAGCGGUGAAAUGCGUAGAUAUCUGGAGGAACACCGGUGGCGAAGGCGACAUCCUGGACCGGUAUUGACGCUGAGGCGCGAAAGCCAGGGGAGCAAACGGG